rnacentral:rRNA from 1 species
AUUGAACGCUGGCGGCAGGCCUAACACAUGCAAGUCGAACGAUUGGCGGACGGGUGAGUAAUGUCUGGGAAACUGCCGGAUGGAGGGGGAUAACUACUGGAAACGGUAGCUAAUACCGCAUACCAUCAGAUGUGCCCAGAUGGGAUUAGCUAGUUGGUGGGGUAACGGCUCACCAAGGCGACGAUCCCUAGCUGGUCUGCGAGGAUGACCAGCGAAACUGGACCAGAGACACAGUCCAGACUCCGACGUGAGACAGCAGUGGGGAAUAUUGAACAAUGGGCGCAAGCCUGAUGCAGCCAUGCCGCGUGGAUGAAGAAGGCCUUCGGGUUGUAAAGUACUUUCAGCGGGAAGGCGUUACCCGCAGAAGAAGCACCGGCUAACUCAGUGCCAGCAGCCGCGGUAAUAC